UACGUAUGGUGCAAGCGUUAUCCGGAUUUACUGGGUGUAAAGGGAGCGCAGGCGGCACGGCAAGCCUGAUGUGAAAGCCCGCGGCCCAACCGCGGGACUGCAUUGGGAACUACCGGGCUGGAGUGCCGGAGAGGUAGGCGGAAUUCCUAGUGUAGCGGUGAAAUGCGUAGAUAUUAGGAGGAACACCAGUGGCGAAGGCGGCCUACUGGACGGUGACUGACGCUGAGACUCGAAAGCGUGGGGAGCAAACAGG
rnacentral:rRNA from 1 species